CAGUCGCCGCGGGAAUACGUAGGGUGCAAGCGUUAACCGGAAUUACUGGGCGUAAAGCGUGCGCAGGCGGUUUGUUAAGACAGAUGUGAAAUCCCCGGGCUUAACCUGGGAACUGCAUUUGUGACUGUAUAGCUAGAGUACGGUAGAGGGGGAUGGAAUUCCGCGUGUAGCAGUGAAAUGCGUAGAUAUGCGGAGGAACACCGAUGGCGAAGGCAAUCCCCUGGACCUGUACUGACGCUCAUGCACGAAAGCGUGGGGAGCAAACAGGAUUAGAGACCCCUGUAGUCCCUGUCUCUUAUAC
rnacentral:rRNA from 1 species